CAGACCUGCAAACUGAGCAGAGUUAGUCUGUGUAACACAGGGACUCCCAGGUCUGGGACUUCUGCUGUUCCUAUUUCUGUUAUUUCAUCCUGUUUGUUUAGACUGGGAAACCUUUGGGGCAGGGACUGUCUUUCAUUGUAGACCUACAGCCUUAUUAACCAGGGCCAUAUGCACUGAUUUUUUUUUUUUUUUUUUAUACCAUGAACGUACUUGCCUGUUGGCCUUUCUUCACCCAGCUGCUUUUGUGUUUGCUUUGUCUUGCGGCCCCUAUUUGGGAAAAUACUCUUUUUGAAGAAUUCCUGAGGCACAGGCUGAGCAGUAAUCACAGGAAUUAGUGACUUCUGAACUUGGGUUUUAAACCAUAAGCUCUUUGGGAGGAGGAUUGAGAGUCCUAUAGUUAUGAAGAGCACCUAAUACAUCUGGGGCUUUUGUGAAACAUGAAGAUGUAACUAAUGAGCGUAGAGGUCUUUCUGCAGGCAACAUGGGCCAAAAAGCACCAGCUCUGCUCCCAAGUCCUUGAGGAAUCUCACAGGACUGGCAAGAAAAGAAAAAACACCAUGAGUGUUUUGGCUCUUGGACAGGAGCUCUUACCACGAGAUCUGUGGCCACGCUGCAUGGACUGUUUCCAAGAGCUCAGUAAAAGCUGUUAUUCCCCACAAGAAAUCCGUGGAGAAGGAUGGCCACUGCGGCCAAAAGCCAGUAAGACAAAGAUCUUUCCUCUGGUAUUAACAGCUCCCUCUCUCUAAUUCUUCUUAAAUAAGUAAAGGAGAUGCUAAAUUUACAACAUACUUUGCUAACAGCCAAGAGAAAGUUGGAGGGUGUUAAAACAUCCAACUCCUUCGUGCUGGUUUGGGAAUCCCAGCCUCCGAGUGACUUUUUCGAGCCCUUCUUCCUAUCCUGGUGUUAGCUAAAACCGGGGAAAAUCCGCCRGCGGCUGAACAGGUCUGCCUGGGGGCCCAGCAGCCGUGCCGGGGGCUUGCCGUCGCCGCCUGCCCUGCGCGCUGGGCAGGAGCCUGGGAACAGGCGCCUUGGGCCGUGGGCAGCGCCGUGCCUGCCGUCACCUCGGCCUCGGGGACACCGGGAGGGCACAUUUCCAUCGCCCCGUGCCCCCGGUGUAUCUACGUGUGAGGAAUGAGGAGAUUAAAAAACAGGGAGCCAGGAAACUGCCCAGUGCUAGCCAUGAGAUCCCACAAAGCGGACGAGCCAAAACGUGGCAUUUUUAUAGUGCGUUGUUUGAAAAUUCCUGCUGUGAGCACAGCCAGGAGAACGAGCACAACCGCUGAACCAGAAAGGGAGUUUUAUCACUGCCUGCAAACUCCAAGCAGAAUAACUCAGGUUGAAAGGGACCCGGGCGCAAAGCAGGGCUAACUCUGAAGAGUUGUCCAGGGCUUUGCACAGUCACCUCCCAAAGCUCUCCAAGGAUGGUGACUCCACCACCUCCCUGGGCAGCCGGCGCCAGUGUUACCCACCCUCCUGGGAAAAACAUUUCCCAUAUUCCCAACAGGGAUUUCCUUUGCGACUGUGGCUUCUUGUCCCUCUCUUUGCACCUCCAAGAAGAACCUGGCUCCACCAUCUCCGUAACCCCUUCAAGAAGCUGAAGACUUUGAGCAGGUCUCCUGGGAGCCGUCCCUUCUCUGGGGGAAGGACCUGGGCCCUGGGCGCCCCAUGGUCCCAUGGCUUGGCUCACCCCACCGUGCCACAGACCCCAGCCAGACACAGCGCCCCAGGAGACAGCGGGCAACCAGC
rnacentral:lncRNA from 1 species